CCCAGCCGCUGGCAGCCUGGCAAGGAGGAGGCGACCCGGUCGUACCCGGUCCGUGACAGAGGUCUGGCGGUUCGAUCCCGCAAGGUGCAUCUGUAGAGGAGAGGCUUGAAAAAAAGGAGGAGCAGGACAAUCAAUGGCCUGGAUUUCUGGAGGCCUGCUUUAAAGCUGCUCGCUUCUGCAAGGAAGGGAAGGAGGAAGAGACUGGCUCAGAUCUCUGGAGGACUGCCUGCUCUCUGCUGUAGAGCUUAAUAUCACUGAAACAAAGCAAGGAAGGGGAAAUUGCACCAUAUCCUUGCAGAUCCACCUCCAGUGGCAGCUCUGGUGGUGUUGGAAUUGCUGCCCACCACUACCCUCAACAGGUCUGCACCCACCUGGGAACAUCCAUCAUCCUGCAGCUUGGUUGUGCCUCGUCUGCACGUUGUCUGUAAUAUUGACUGAGGCUUUGGAAGCAGAUAGAUUGAUUUCUGUACUGGUGACUGACUCUGACUCUUGUUUCCAACAAAUCAUCUGAAUCACUGAAAGAUCAGAGUGUGAAGAUACAAAGCGAGAGAGAUCUGUGGUAGAAGCUGAGACUGGGGUAGAGUACUUAACUAGG
ensembl:lncRNA